UACGUAGGUGGCAAGCGUUGUCCGGAAUUAUUGGGCGUAAAGCGCGCGCAGGCGGUUUCUUAAGUCUGAUGUGAAAGCCCACGGCUCAACCGUGGAGGGUCAUUGGAAACUGGGAGACUUGAGUGCAGAAGAGAAGAGCGGAAUUCCACGUGUAGCGGUGAAAUGCGUAGAGAUGUGGGGGAACACCAGUGGCGAAGGCGGCUCUUUGGUCUGUAACUGACGCUGAGGCGCGAAAGCGUGGGGAGCGAACAGG
rnacentral:rRNA from 1 species